CAGACUCCUACGGGAGGCAGCAGUAGGGAAUCUUCGGCAAUGGACGGAAGUCUGACCGAGCAACGCCGCGUGAGUGAAGAAGGUUUUCGGAUCGUAAAGCUCUGUUGUAAGAGAAGAACGGGUGUGAGAGUGGAAAGUUCACACUGUGACGGUAUCUUACCAGAAAGGGACGGCUAACUACGUGCCAGCAGCCGCGGUAAUACGUAGGUCCCGAGCGUUGUCCGGAUUUAUUGGGCGUAAAGCGAGCGCAGGCGGUUAGAUAAGUUUGAAGUUAAAGGCUGUGGCUUAACCAUAGUACGCUUUGGAAACUGUUUAACUUGAGUGCAAGAGGGGAGAGUGGAAUUCCAUGUGUAGCGGUGAAAUGCGUAGAUAUAUGGAGGAACACCGGUGGCGAAAGCGGCUCUCUGGCUUGUAACUGACGCUGAGGCUCGAAAGCGUGGGGAGCAAACAGGAUUAGAUACCCUGGUAGUCCACGCCGUAAACGAUGAGUGCUAGGUGUUAGACC
rnacentral:rRNA from 1 species